rnacentral:rRNA from 1 species
AUGAAGACUUGCCGGGCGAGGGCUGAAGAGCAUGGACGCUUUCUACGGCGGCGCCACCAGUCGAUUUCGCGGCCAUCCAGCACCAGCCGCCACAGCUCCACUGGUGCCGCAGCCGCUCUUUGCCGUGUGCGCGCUAGCUUGGCCCACAUCGCCGAGGCUGUGGCUGGUGGCGUGUGGGGGAGAGAGGUGGAGAGGAAGACUUGUGCGUGCGACCCAAUGCGGAGCUGCCUUUGCUGGGAAGAAAACAAUCCAAUCGCUGCUACUCGUGUUUGUUUCCUUCUAUACAGUAAAAUCGGCACAGUAAAAGCCUACGAGGCAUAG